AGAAGUUCAACGUUAGCCGCCGCAGGCCUAAACCGCCUUGUUGGCCACUUCGCACAAUUCCUAAGGGGGUCUUACCGCUCUGCGCAUCCUGGAAUUAAGCGACAACGGGCAAACGCAAAAGGUUGGGCCGAAAGUUAUCCGUCCUGUGACUUAGAUGUUCGACAGCCUAUGCAAGGAAGGUACCGACAUCAGGCAAGAUUUGGAAUGAGUAUUUCAAGGCCAUGGUGGAGCUGGCUUCGCUAUAGACGCCUUUGUUUGACGACGUUUUUAUUUUGGACUGUUUUCUUCUCAUCGCCGGCAUGCAACCUUGGGAAAUGCAUUCUACCAGCAGAGCCGUAAAAGCAACGCACAACAUUGAUUGCUUUGACAUGAUGUGGCCACUUUCAUUGUCGAAUAAGCGCAAAUCCGUUGUCGAAUUUUCUAUAUACAAGCACGUGCAGGCAGGACGCGUGCCCUGGCGUACGUUGAGAGUGUAUCGGGAAUGUCAUCUGUGAUCUACGACUACGUACCUGCAUUGGUCCCAUGUACAGCUGAUAGUGAAGGAUAAAUGUGUCCACGUUCUGAUUCUGCGCAAGACGGAAAGCCGGUACCACACGGGAACUCUAUAUAGUUCUGGACCUUACCAAGCUCCCAGAUCUCGAGUACCAUGCUCUCGCCUUCUGGCGUACGUAAGCUAAGCUCUACGCAA